rnacentral:tRNA from 1 species
GAAUUCUUAGUAUAAGUUAGUAUGUUUGAUUUCCAAUCAAGGGGUUUUGGAAUUU